AAAAGAAACUAACUAGGAUUCCCUCAGUAGCGGCGAGCGAAGUGGGAAAAAGCCCGGAAUGAAAAUCUCUUCGGAGAGUUGUAGCUCAAAGGCAACGCCAGAGUGCUCAGUGAGGGCAAGUCGCAUGGAAUUGCGCGCCACGGAGGGUGAGAGCCCCGUCCACCCCUCACACCAGUUGCUCAAUCGGCGUAUGUCUUUUUCGGCGAGUCGGGUAGCUUGAGAAUGCUGCUCCAAUUGGUGGUAAACCUCAUCAAAGGCUAAAUAAGCGUGGGAGACCGAUAGCGAACAAGUACCGUAAGGGAAAGAUGGAAAGCACUUUGAAAAGAGGGUGAAAAGCGCCUGAAACCGUCACGGGGGAAGCGGAUUGCGUGAGUGAGCGCCGACUGUACUGUUCAGCCACUUGUGGUGCACUCAGUACAGGCUGUGUCGGUGUGACUGUGCUUAAAUUGGGGUGUUGGAUGUUGCAACACCGCAUGGUGAGGGCUCCCCCUUUUAUGUGGGUGAGGACAUCGACCAAAUAACGCGACCCGACCCGUCUUGAAACACGGACCAAGGAGUCUAGCACUACUGCGAGUCGAAGGGUGGUAUAAACCCACGGGCGCAGUGAAAGCAAAUGUUGCAAAACAAAGAUGUGUUUCCACACAUCGGGGAGGCUUGACGACGUUGUCUGAAGGUUCUACCCAGAGCAGUUGUGCUGGUACCCGAAAGAUGGUGAACUAUGCCUGAAUAGGGCAAAGCCAGGGGAAACUCUGGUGGAGGCUCGUAGCGAUGCUGACGUGCAAAUCGCUCGUCGAAUUUGGGUAUAGGGGCGAAAGACUAAUCGAACCAUCUAGUAGCUGGUUCCCUCCGAAGUUUCUCUCAGGAUAGCGGGCCGACAUUGUGAAAAAGUUGUUUUGUGCGGUAAAGCGAAUGAUUAGCGCAUUUGGGGAUGAAACAUCUUCUGGCGAUUCUCAAACUUUAAAUGCGCAAGAGAGCGGUUUUGGUUGCUUUAUGUGAACCCCGCUUUGAAAACGUCGGCCCUGUGGGCCACUUUUGGUAAGCAGAACUGGCGAUACGGGAUGAACCGUAAGCGUGGUUAAGGCCGUCAAAUUGGUCGCUUAAAGAUCCCACAAAAGGCGUUGAUUCAUCCAGACAGCAGGACGGUGGCCAUGGAAGUCGGAAUCCGCUAAGGAGUGUGUAACAACUCACCUGCCGAAUGAAUUAGCCCUGAAAAUGGAUGACGCUGAAGCGAGCAGCCGACACCACGCCGUUUGUGCAAAAAAUGUGAAGUGCAAAUGAGUAGGAGGGCGUGGCGGUCUUGUGAGGAAGGUGUGGACGCAAGUCUCACUGAAACGGCCGCUAGUGCAGAUCUUGGUGGUAGUAGCAAAUAUUCAAGCGAGAUCCUUGAAGGGCGAAGCGGGGAAGGGUUCCACGCGAACAGUGAUUGGGCGUGGGUGAGUCGUUCCUAAGCCGGCUGGUAAUUGUUGUUACAAAGCGGCGAAAGGGAAGCGGGUUAAAACUUCCCGCACACGGAUGUGGAGGCGGUGACGCAAACUGAGGCGAACACGCUGGCGACGGCGCUGGGCAGAGUUGUCUUUUCUGUUUGACCUGCGAGAUGCACGGUGUGGAAUCCGAUUAUCGGGAGAAACACGUGCCGAGGGGCAGAGCGCCGGGAUUUUUCCGGCGUCCAGCACGCCGUCGACGGCCCUUGAAAAUUUGCCUGCGAGAGUGCGUUUGUGCGCGUAGUGCCAUUUUUUUGGUGCUGCACACACAGCGCGACAAUUUCACGCCGUGGCGUACCGAUAACCGCAUCAGGUCCCCAAGGUGAACAGCCUCUGCUCCAUAUGAACAAUGCAGGUAAGGGAAGUCGGCAAAAUGGACCCGUAACUUUGGGAAAAGGGUUGGCUCUAGUGGCGCGGGGGAUUCGACGCGCUGUGUGUUCUCUGCCGCUUUUCACGCUGGCGGGGCGCACACGCGCGCGCGAGCAAAAAUGGACGCUGUGCGCGUGUGCUGGGCGCGGCGGCUGUGGCUACCUGGAGCGAUGCCCGCAUACACGCGCAAGCGUGUGUGUGUGCGCGUUGCGCCGGGUGCGGCUGCGGUCAUUUGCUGUGAACAACGUGCGUGUACAGUGUCCGCCUCCAGCAUGCUCCAGACUAGAACUGCAACGGGCAAGGGGAAUCCGACUGUUUAAUUAAAACAAAGCAUUGCGAUGGCCGGGGACGGUGAAGACGCAAUGUGAUUUCUGCUCAGUGCUCUGAAUGUCAAAGUGAAGAGAUUCAACCAAGCGCGGGUAAACAGCGGGAGUAACUAUGACUCUCUUAAGGUAGCCAAAUGCCUCGUCAUCUAAUUAGUGACGCGCAUGAAUGGAUUAACGAGAUUCCUACUGUCCCUAUCUGCUUCUAGCGAAACCACAGCCGAGGGAACGGGCUCGGCGAAAUCGGCGGGGAAAGAAGACCCUGUUGAGCUUGACUCUAUUCUAAUUUUGGUGAAGCAAGUUAGGAGGUGUAGCAUAGGUGGGAGUGCGUGGGUGCGCGUUUGUGCUGCGUACGCAAAUGAAAUACCACUACUCCUAAUCUUGCUUUACUUAUGGCGUAAACCUGCACGGCCCAUGCGGCCUAUUUUAGCGUCAACUUGGACUCCUGCGGUGUUGCUGUGUGUGCGCUUUUUUUGGGUGCUGCACACAGCUUCGCCUGUCCGAGGAGCAGCGCGCCUGACACAUUUAGGAGGGGAGUUUGGCUGGGGCGGCACAUCUUCUACAAGACAACGAAGGUGUCCAAAGAUGAGCUCAGUGAGAACGGAAAUCUCACGUAGCGCAAAAGGGUAAAAGCUUGUUUGAUUUUGAUUUUCAGUGUGAGUUGAAAACACGAAAGUGUGGCCUAUCGAUCCUUUCACGAUUCGAGGUUUGAAGCGAGAGGUGUCAGAAAAGUUACCACAGGGAUAACUGGCUUGUGGCGGCCAAGCGUUCAUAGCGACGUCGCUUUUUGAUCCU
rnacentral:rRNA from 2 species